UGAGGAAUAUUGGUCAAUGGGCGCGAGCCUGAACCAGCCAAGUAGCGUGAAGGAUGAAGGUCCUACGGAUUGUAAACUUCUUUUAUAAGGGAAUAAAGUCACCCACGUGUGGGUGUUUGUAUGUACCUUAUGAAUGAGCAUCGGCUAACUCCGUGCCAGCAGCCGCGGUAAUACGGAGGAUGCGAGCGUUAUCCGGAUUUAUUGGGUUUAAAGGGAGCGUAGACGGGCCGUUAAGUCAGCUGUGAAAGUUUGAGGCUCAACCUUAAAAUUGCAGUUGAUACUGGCGUCCUUGAGUACGGUUGAGGCAGGCGGAAUUCGUGGUGUAGCGGUGAAAUGCUUAGAUAUCACGAAGAACCCCGAUUGCGAAGGCAGCUUGCUGGACUGUAACUGACGUUGAGGCUCGAAAGUAUGGGUAUCAAACAGGAUUAGAUACCCUGGUAGUCCACACGGUAAACGAUGGAUACUCGCUGUUGGCGAUAGACUGUCAGCGGCUUAGCGAAAGCGUUAAGUAUCCCACCUGGGGAGUACGCCGGCAACGGUGAAACUCAAAGGAAUUGACGGGGGCCCGCACAAGCGGAGGAACAUGUGGUUUAAUUCGAUGAUACGCGAGGAACCUUACCCGGGCUUGAAUUGCAGACGAAUUGCUUGGAAACAGGCAAGCCGCAAGGCGUCUGUGAAGGUGCUGCAUGGUUGUCGUCAGCUCGUGCCGUGAGGUGUCGGCUUAAGUGCCAUAACGAGCGCAACCCUCGUGUCCAGUUACUAGCAGGUUAUGCUGAGGACUCUGGACAGACUGCCAUCGUAAGAUGUGAGGAAGGUGGGGGUGACGUCAAAUCAGCACGGCCCUUACGUCCGGGGCUACACACGUGUUACAAUGGGGGGUACAGCAGGCAGCUACCGGGCGACCGGAUGCCAAUCCCGAAAGCCUCUCUCAGUUCGGACUGGAGUCUGCAACCCGACUCCACGAAGCUGGAUUCGCUAGUAAUCGCGCAUCAGCCACGGCGCGGUGAAUACGUUCCC
rnacentral:rRNA from 1 species